rnacentral:tRNA from 1 species
GGGCCUGUAACAUAAUCUGGAUAGUGUACUCGGCUUCGGACCGAGCGAUCGGGGUUCAAAUCCUCGCAGGCCCA